GCGCAAGCGCUUGCUCAUAACGGUCCCACACAUUAACAGUCCGCCUGCAGGCUCUGGUCAGCAGGCUGCCUGACAGUCAUUGAACGUCGACACAAAAUCUACAAAAU